AUGAACGCUAGCGGCAGGCCUAAUACAUGCAAGUCGAACGGUAAAUAUUUUAGCAAUAGAAUAUGAGAGUGACGUACGGGUGCGUAACACGUAUGCAACCUACCCUUUACAGAUGGAUAGCUCGGGGAAACUCGAAUUAACCCGUCAUAAGAUCAUAGAGUGGCAUCACUUAGUGAUAAAAAUUACGGUGGUAAAGGAUGGGCAUGCGUCUGAUUAGUUAGUUGGUGCGGGUAACGGCCCACCAAGACGAUGAUCAGUAGGGGAACUGAGAGGUUGAUCCCCCACACUGGCACUGAGAUACGGGCCAGACUCCUACGGGAGGCAGCAGUAGGGAAUAUUGGUCAAUGGAUGGAAGUCUGAACCAGCCAUGCCGCGUGCAGGAAGAAGGCCUUCUGGGUUGUAAACUGCUUUUGCCAGGGGCUAAAAAGCUCAUGCGUGAGAAAUUGAAAGUACCUGGUGAAUAAGCCACGGCUAACUACGUGCCAGCAGCCGCGGUAAUACGUAGGUGGCAAGCGUUGUCCGGAUUUAUUGGGUUUAAAGGGUGCGUAGGCGGCUUUGUAAGUCAGUGGUGAAAUAUGGCAGCUCAACUGUCAGGGUGCCAUUGAUACUGCGGAGCUUGAGUACAGAUGAGGUAGGCGGAA
rnacentral:rRNA from 1 species